rnacentral:rRNA from 1 species
UACGAAUGGAGCGAGCGUUGUUCGGAAUCACUGGGCGUAAAGCGCAUGUAGGCGGACUGGACAGUCAGGAGUGAAAUCCCGGGGCUCAACCCCGGAACUGCUUCUGAAACUCCCAGUCUAGUGUCCCGGAGAGGUUGGCGGAAUUCCGCGUGUAGAGGUGAAAUUCGCAGAUAUUCGGAAGAACACCAGUGGCGUAGGCGGCCAGCUGGACGGGUACAGACGCUGAGAUACGAAAGCGUGGGGAUCAAACAGG